rnacentral:RNase_MRP_RNA from 2 species
UCCUCGCUCAAAGAAUCGCAUUCAAAGCUCACACACAAGAGUGUAUACCCAUACCUCUUCCCCCACAAGCUUUUGGGAAAGUCCUCGGACAACCUGCCCAAUUCAUUUUUAUGAAUUGGUUCCUGGUUCUCGUUUCAAUGAGAAUGAUCGGUCAGGCAAUGCGGAAACGCGCCGCCAUAAAAGCAAUUUGAUAGCGGCUUACGCUCCUAUUCUUCCUUUGGAUCAUGGUCUAUGCGACGUCUUUCUUUGCAAAAAGGAAGGUGGAAACAAUGGCAUGGAUUCGGGUUUGAAGAGAAGAGGAUGUCCUUCGGGAUAUCAGUAUUGGAGUUGCUCUUCGUCGUGGUUCGAUAGUUAUGCGAUUGCUUGUUCGAUUUGGUUCGGACAAGUAACUCAAUGGGGCUCAUUCUUGAGGCGAGG